rnacentral:rRNA from 1 species
AUUGAACGCUGGCGGCAGGCCUAACACAUGCAAGUCGAACGAGUGGCGGACGGGUGAGUAAUGUCUGGGAAACUGCCUGACGGAGGGGGAUAACUACUGGAAACGGUAGCUAAUACCGCAUACCAUCAGAUGUGCCCAGAUGGGUUUAGCUUGUGGGUGGGGUAACGGCUCACCAAGGCGACGAUCCCUAGCUGGUCUGAGAGGAUGACCGGCCACACUGGAACUGAGACACGGUCCAGAAGCCUACGGGAGGCAGAAGUAGGGAAUAUUGCACAAUGGGCGCAAGCCUGAUAGAGCCAUGCCGCGUGUAUGAAGAAGGCCUUCGGGUUGUAAAGUACUUUCAGCGGGGAGGCGUUACCCGAAGAAGAAGCACCGGCUAACUCCGUGCCAGCAGCCGCGGUAAUAC